rnacentral:misc_RNA from 1 species
AACAGCAAGCAUAAAGAAAUGAAUACCAUAAACCGUCAAUCGCUUUUUGUAAAGAACAUGAAUCCAAACAACAGCAAGCGAGAAAUAAAUCAAAGAGAAAACGAAGUAAAUCCUAGGGAGGAUGGUUUUCCCAGCAGAAAGAUAGUCUCGGCCACCGUUUUUGCCCUCAAGAUUGUACAUAGCGGAUCGAACAUCCAUAGAAACCUUGAGUUGCUGAAGACAGUUAGCAAAAACGAGAGUGUAUUGAUCGGCAUCGCUCUCGGGAUAAAGAACAUCGAAUCGGUCGCUACCCUUGAGGGAAUUGAAGGUGUAGACGGGUUUGACGAGGUCGGAUUGAAGAGCACAAGAGAUUUCCCCUUCCUCUAAUUGCUGGAUCACAUGAAGCCAGGAUUCUCGAGUACAGAGGAAGAAUCCGGCCUUGGAGAGAUCGAGAUCUGGAUUGGGAUCGGAGAGCUCGAGACGAGAGACGUUGAGCUCGAGACGACCGCCAUGGCUGAAGCCGAAGACGUCAAAGGGAAUGAUGGGUCGGUUGUCAUUUCUGAUCUCGGUCAAGCGAAUCUCUGCAAAAGACGAUAUGGGUAAGAGGAAGACGAGGAGCAGAAACAUGGAGGAGAAGGAGAAAUCCAUGGCCGCCAUGGCAAAGAGAGUUGAA